rnacentral:rRNA from 1 species
GAGUUUGAUUCUGGCUCAGAUUGAACGCUGGCGGCAUGCUUUACACAUGCAAGUCGAACGGCAGCACGAGUGCUUGCACUUGGUGGCGAGUGGCGAACGGGUGAGUAAUGCAUUGGAACGUGCCUUGUAUUGGGGGAUAACUGAGCGAAAGCUUAGCUAAUACCGCAUACGCCCUGAUGGGGAAAGCUGGGGAUCGUUUGACCUGGCGAUAUAAGAGCGGCCAAUGUCUGAUUAGCUAGUUGGUGAGGUAAAGGCUUACCAAGGCGACGAUCAGUAGCGGGUCUGAGAGGAUGAUCCGCCACACUGGGACUGAGAGACGGCCCAGACUCCUACGGGAGGCAGCAGUGGGGAAUUUUGGACAAUGGGGGGAACCCUGAUCCAGCCAUGCCGCGUGUCUGAAGAAGGCCUUCGGGUUGUAAAGGACUUUUGUUGGGGAGCAAAGGUAUCUGGUUAAGAGCUGGAGAUUAUGAG